GCAGGCACCGAGAGGACCCACCAGACUUAAGCAUAUCAGUAAGUGGAGGAGCGGAAACUAACAAGGACACCCCCAGUAGCAGCGAGCGAAGCGGGUCCAGCCCGGUUGGAAACAGAUUUAUCUGAGAUGUACGGCGAUGCAGAGCGAACGCGGACGGAGACGCGUCCACAGAGGGUGCGAGACCCGUAGCAGGGCAGCCGAUGGCGAGUAGUGCUGUGCGGACACACAGGGCGAAUGGUGACGGAGACACCGAAGGCUAAGUACACGGAGAGACCGAUAGGGCAGAGUACCGAGAGGGAAGGGUGAAAAGAACCUCGGAAGGGGGGUGAGAAGACGUGAAACGGGCCGGGCGGAAGGGCAGACACGUGUGCCACCCGUCUUGAAACACGGACCAAGGAGGUGUUCCCCGUGGCGGGGCUUAACGGGGCAUAGGCACGGGGAGCAGACCCGAAAGGCGGUGAACUAUUCCGGGCCAGGAUGAAGCCGGAGAAAGCGCUGGUGGAGGUCCGAGGCGGAUCUGACGUGCAAAUCGAGCGUUUGAGCCAGGAAUAGGGGCGAAAGACCCAUCGAACCGCCUAGUAGCUGGUUCCGGCCGAAAUGUCUCGCAGGACAGCACACGCGGGCGGUGGUGGGCAGUAGAGACCUGUCGCGUAGGUUGGGGCAACCCAGGCUUGGGGCAAACUUCGAAGGCGCACGCACGGGGGCGUGUAGUGGGGUGUUGGUGGUAAGCAGCAGCAGCGACGCGGGAUGAACCGAGGGAGACGCUAAGGCGCCGGACGUGCCGGGGAAAAGGAGCGGCGCGCAUGGAGACAGCAGGGCAGUGGCCAUGGAGGUUGGCAUCUGGGAAGAAGUGUGUUGCAACUUGCCUGCCGAAUGCGGGGCCGGCCGAAAAUGGAUGGCCGGGCACGGGCCGACGCGUCUCGUGAUUGAAGAAGAUCAGGGUAGGCCGGCGCGGCACGGGCGGGGAAGCGCGUCUGCAGAGGGGCGUGGAGCGCGUGGCGGUGCAGAUCUUGGAGGGAGUAGCAGCGAGUCACGAGAGAGCCGGGAGCAGGGUUCCGCGGUGCUGAGGGACAGCCGCGGGUGACACGAGCCUAAUUUUCAAUCGAAAGGGCAGCCGUAGUGCGGCGGGGCUGCAGGGGUGGCGACAGGCGCGGGUGUCGAGGCGCACGGCACGAGUGGGCUGCGGGUGUGCAGCUUGAGGGCCGCGGGUGUCCGGAUCGUUGUGAGGCGACGGAGACGCGGGCACGGAACACACGGGGGGUGGGCAGCGUGAAAAGACAGCGCGGGCAGCAGCGAUCGUACCGAACCGCAACAGGGCUCCAGCAUGCGAAUGCACGGCGACGGGGGAAUGUGUGUAAGGGAAGUCGGCAAGCUUGGCCUGUAACCUCGGGAGAAGGGGUGGCUCCGCGCAGAGCGCAGGAACCUACGGCGCGGGGAACCCGACUGUUUUGUAAAAACAUAGCGUUGUGGACGCACGCAACGUGAGUUCUGCCCAGUGCCCGGGAGUCAAUGCGGGGAGUUCCGCGGACGCACGGGUAAACGGCGGGAGUAACUAUGACUCUCUUAAGGUAGCCAAAUGCCUCGUCAUCUAAUUAGUGACGUGCAUGAAUGGAUCAGCGAGGUUCCCACUGUCCCUAUGCGCGGCCCGGCGAAACCACAGCCAGGGGAACGGGCCUGGCCACGCCAGCGGGGAAAGAAGACCCUGUUGAGCUUGACUGCAGUUUUCCCUCGAGCAGCCGCCGCGGGGCCUAGGAAGGGGGGAGGAUGCGCCUGUGGAAGACCCCCACGCGCGGCAGGCUCCUCCAGCGCGGAAGAUGGGCAGUUUGGCUGGGGCGGCACGGCUGCGAGAGCGGAGCGCAGGCGUCCCAACGUCGGCGCACCACGGGGCGAAACCGUGGGUGGCGCAGAAGGGCGCAAGCCGGCGUGACGGCACACAGUGCUGGUGCGAAAGCAGGGCCUAGCGAUCCUCCGCUGCGGCUUGCGCGGGCGGAGGUGACGGAAAAGUUACCACAGGGAUAACUGGCUUGUGGCUGCCAAGCGUCCACAGCGACGCAGCCUUUUGAUUCUUCGAUGUCGGCUCUUCCUAGCGUGGCGUUGCACAGGGCGCCAAGCGUUGGAUUGUUCACCCACCAACAGGGAACGUGAGCUGGGUUUAGACCGUCGCGAGACAGGUUAGUCUUACCCUACUGGCCGCGGGGGCGGAAGCUGCGCGCAGUACGAGAGGAACCGCGUGGCCGUGCCGCUGGCGGAGGGCGUGUGUGCCCAUGCUGCCCCGAAGCUACGCACGUGCGUGAAGCGCUGGAAGCCUCUAAGCGCGGACCGCUGCCGCACCCGAUGGAGUGCCGGCACACGACCGGCGAGCGCGCAUGUGUAAGGCGCAAGCAGAGCGAGUGUCUGAGCAUAGCGCAGGGGCAGGGUGCACUAUACUCUCACAUAUUUUCUUGUUAUU
rnacentral:rRNA from 1 species